UACGUAGGGUGCGAGCGUUAAUCGGAAUUACUGGGCGUAAAGCGUGCGCAGGCGGUUUUGUAAGCCAGAUGUGAAAUCCCCGGGCUCAACCUGGGAAUGGCAUUUGGGACUGCAAGGCUGGAGUGUGGCAGAGGAGACUGGAAUUCCUGGUGUAGCAGUGAAAUGCGUAGAGAUGUGGAGGAACACCGAUGGCGAAGGCAGCCCCCUGGGCUAACACUGACGCUGAGGCACGAAAGCGUGGGGAGCAAACAGG
rnacentral:rRNA from 1 species